rnacentral:tRNA from 2 species
GCGCAUUUAGCUCAGUGGCCAGAGCGUUGGUUUUCGGUUAGUUCGCCGACACCGCCAAGGGUCGCAGGUUCGACCCCUGUAAUGCGCU